rnacentral:rRNA from 1 species
GAUGAACGCUAGCGGCAGGCCUAACACAUGCAAGUCGAGGGGGAAGUUACUUUCGGGUGACUGAGACCGGCGUACGGGUGCGUAACGCGUAUACAAUCUGCCUUUCACUGGGGGAUAGCCCGAAGAAAUUUGGAUUAAUACCCCAUAGUAUAUAGGGACGGCAUCGUUUUUAUAUUAAAGCUUAGGUGGUGAAAGAUGAGUAUGCGUUCUAUUAGCUAGUUGGAGAGGUAACGGCUCCCCAAGGCGAUGAUAGAUAGGGGUUCUGAGAGGGAUGUCCCCCACACUGGUACUGAGAUACGGACCAGACUCCUACGGGAGGCAGCAGUGAGGAAUAUUGGACAAUGGUCGGAAGACUGAUCCAGCCAUGCCGCGUGCAGGAUGAAGGUCUUAUGGAUUGUAAACUGCUUUUGUAAGGGAAGAAUAAGGGCUACGCGUAGUUUGAUGACGGUACCUUACGAAUAAGCAUCGGCUAACUCCGU